rnacentral:lncRNA from 1 species
ACAACAUAUUUUUAUGUUAAAGAGAUGAGGUAUUUAUAUCCAGUACUAAGCGAGACUGUCGGUUGUGAUCAAUACGUAUGUCGGACUUGUUUGUUAGAAUUCAGUGAGUAUGCACAGUAAACAACUUAGAAACAUAGAUUGAUAUCAAAAGAGAACAAAUGUAAUAAAAUAAUAAAACUGGCUUAAACAUAAAAUAAAAAGGAAUUUGUCGCUGCGUUGAACAUUAAGAAAGUGCUUCUGGAUGUAACCACCGCUGGGAAUAAUGUAGCUUUAUCCCAUGACUUGAAAACUGUCAUCGACAUAAAAAAGACCAGAUGAGCCCAGCUAUACGUAACAGAUUUGCUAUUGUCAAGUUUUAAGUGUCCAAAGUUUGCCAUCUGGUCAGCAUUGCUGGGAAGUGGACACCAGUGAAUCAGAGUAUUGGAGGACAGGCAUUGUCUAUCCCAGCAUGGACAGCAAGGUAGACUAGUCCUACAUUGGGUAUAAUUAGAAGUCCUGGUGUUUGAAAAGGUUGGGUAAAGAGUUUGUAGUAAUUCAUGAUGGCCAAGUUAUUGUGAUACCACAUUCUAUUCUCAGAUUUAAAAUGGCCUUGAACUACAAGUGUGGGCAUCUUUCGUUUUACGAGCUGAGUGACCCGAUUACACACUUGCAUACUUUCAAUACCAACUUCACUGAACAACGUAAUGCUGCAUUGUUUGUAUGGGAAGGAAAGCUGAGAAUUGUGCUCUAGAAGGGAUCUGUGAUAUAAUAUUGGUUAAAGGGAUACCCCGGACUCCUAAUGUACUUCUGCUUACUGAAAUGAUUUAUGUCUGAAGAGUGUGUCCUCUCUUUUUCAUUUUUCAAAAAUGUAUUUGAAAUUGGCACAUUUAUAAAUCAACCUUUUUACACGCCAUGGCUUUCAAUCAGAUAACCAGCUCUGUUACUUAUUCUUUGUUUUUGUAUUUUAACUCAGUGGAGCAAAACCCGGAGCACCUGCCUUGCAGAAACUUCUUAUUGAGCUGCAUUGGGAAGUCUGUGAUUGGACAACCACAGAAAGUUUGGAUGGGGUUAAAAGGGGAGGGCUUCCAAAAGCUUCAAACAAGAGAUCUGCAGCUUUUGCUUGUUAAUGUUUUUAGAUAUAACCACAAUGAAAAAAUACAUAAUUAAAUGCAAGCAUGUUUUCAUUUGGGGUAUAUCUACCAACUAGUGAUCUUUAUUUUUUUUUUGGUAUAUGGGCAGUGUAGUAUUCCUUUAAGAAUCAGAUGAUAGAAUUUCACUUUCUACAUGUGAUAAACAGAGAGGUUGAUUUAAAGUCUUAAUUAAUGAGUCUUGACUUACCAAAAUUUCAUGUUUGGUUGUCAAAAAGUGCUAAUUAUUUGCACGGCUUUAUUAAACUAUCUGUGAAUCUGGUGUAAAAUACAUUUUAUUCUAAAAUAUUCUUACAGUAAUCUUCUAAAAUAAUUUUUUUACUUUCCCAUCACGAGAAGAAAUUUUUAAUGCAGAGAAUAAAGAUAUUGACUAAGAUGGUCUUAGCAGCUCGUUGAUCUCAAGUAGUCCAUUGGUUGAUGGAGAAUCCUCUCCUCUUGCCAAAGUGAAAGUUGACUUACUGUCAGGAAGACUUACUGAUGGAUAAAUGAACAACUAUGAUCCACCACACUAUGCCUUCUCUUUGGGAUUCCAAGUUAUCGAGUUCACCUUAAUUUUGUGGCCCCUCACAAGAUGAUUGUCUUAAAUGAUCAAAUGCUAAGAUUGCUUUGUGAUUGGAAUGUUUAACCACAAUCAGAAUGUAAGAUGGUGGAGUAAGAAUUAACCUUAAAAUACUGUGAGAUUUUAUGAUUGGGUACAACUUUGAGUCUGUAUUGAAAAUGAAAAUUACUAUUUCUUUGUAUGUUGAUAACAAAACACAAAAGGGCUAAAAUAUUCUAAAUAUAUAGUAUGAUUAAGACUUGUAAAUUUGUGAAAUGUGCUUUGAGAAUUAUUGUUAAUAAAAGUUUCUAAAUUUGAGAUAUUUUAUUCCUGACCUUAUAGUGUUUAACCCACCAUUUAGGUGGCUUCCCCCCUCUCCCCCACCCUUAACCCCCUUGGAAAAGGUGAAAAUUCACCUUAAGUCCAGCGCCGCCUCCUUGGUGACAUCAUCGGAAUUGAUUAUUUUUAGCAAAUCCAAUGCUUUCCCAUAGGGAGAGCAUUGGAUUGGCUGAUAUCGGCAAGGAGGUGGGGAGGGGCCAACGCUGUUUUUAGACAAUCAGCACAUCCUCAUAGAGAUGCAUUGAAUCAAUGCAUCUCUAUGAGGAAAAUUCAACAUCCCCAUGUAGAGCGUGGAGACACUGAACGGCAGUUCUGCCUACUGUGCGGCACUGAGCCAGGAAGCACCUCCAGUGGCCAUCUGAGGGGUGACCCUAGGGGCAAUGUAAGCACUGCCAUUUCUCAGAAAAGGUAGAGUUUGCAUGAAAAUGCCUGAAGGCAAUGAUUAUACACACCAGAACAACUAAAUUAAGCUGUAGUUAUUCUGGUGACUAUAGUGUCCCUUUAAGUUAAAUUAAAUCAGUUAUUGAGUCAAUGUAUGUGUGUUGGAGUUAGUAUUGCUUCCUAGGUUGACUGGUGAAGCAGGUUAUAUAUGCAUGUGAGUAGCUGGUUAUGUGUCUCAAAUUACCGCUUAGUUUGUGUAAACAAGGGGGGCAGCAACAUUGUCAUUCAAUGGCCCGCAAUUGGUAAGGGCAGCCUUGUUAUGGUAGAAAGAUGCAAGGUGUGAGGUUUAUAUUAUAGUUUUGAUAAUCUGGACACCAAAUACAUCAGUUUAGAUGGCACAGAGUUAAUAAAACUGAGAACUGCCAUUCCGGUUAGAAUUUUGGGACUGGGUAGUCGUUAUAGAGACUGAGAUAAGACACAACAUGGACAAUGCCCAAC